rnacentral:rRNA from 1 species
UACGUAGGGUGCAAGCGUUAAUCGGAAUUACUGGGCGUAAAGCGUGCGCGGCGGUUAUGUAAGACAGUUGUGAAAUCCCCGGGCUCAACCUGGGAACUGCAUCUGUGACUGCAUAGCUAGAGUACGGUAGAGGGGGAUGGAAUUCCGCGUGUAGCAGUGAAAUGCGUAGAUAUGCGGAGGAACACCGAUGGCGAAGGCAAUCCCCUGGACCUGUACUGACGCUCAUGCACGAAAGCGUGGGGAGCAAACAGG